AAGCGCUUGUGACCAGACUUGCGCCGGGCAGAUCAUCCGGUGUUCUCACCGGUGCACUCUGCCCGGCUCAGGCCAGCAUCGGUUCUCGCGGGGGGAUAAAGGCACCGGGAACGUAGCUCCUCCGGGAGUGUUAUAGCCCGGGGCGCAAUGCCCCCGCGGGGACCGAGGUUCGCGCAUCUGCAAGGAUGCUGGCGUAAUGGUCAUCAGCGA
rnacentral:rRNA from 1 species